AUUAGAAGUCAGAGAAUUGUGCCAGGAAUGGAAAAGUCAGGGACAUAAGAGUGGAAGGAAAAGAUAGAUUUGGUGAAGAGUUUGCAGACUGGGCCUGGCCGCAUACCUAGUUGGGAGAGAUUAGUGCUGGCUUUAUUGUGUUUAUCUCUCUGUGGCCUAAGGAGUGUGUUUAAAGAGUCAGGAGCAGGAAUUCUUUUGUGGUGCAGCAGGUUAAGGAUCCUGUGUAGUAGCUCAGGUCACUGCUGUGGAGAGGGUUUGGUCCCUGGCUCAGGAGCUUCUGCAUGCCCCAGGAAUGAAAAAAAAAAAAAAAAAAAAAAAUCAGGAGCAGAGCUAGCACAGACCUGACUUUGUUCACUCCUUCAAAUUACCUUCUUCUUUGGGUUCCUAAUAUCCUAGUUUCCCUACGUUAACAAAUAGAAGGUUCUUGUAUUAGUUUCCUAGAGUUUCUACCACAAACCUAAUGGCCUAAAACAAUGCACAUUUAUUAUCUUACUGUUCUGGAGGUCAGAAGUCUGAAGUGGGUCCCACUGGGCUAUCAAAAUGUUGGCAGGACUGUGUUCCUUUCUGGAGACUUUAGGGGAGAAUCUUUUCCCAUGCCUUUUCGAUAAAAGAUCGAUCUCCAGCCUCAAAAAAUAUCUACUGGAAACCUCUGGCUGUGUGAUUACUUGCACGACAGCACCCAAGCCUCACAGACUCCCUUUUGAAAAUGAAGCAGCCCCAAGUAGAGCAUAUUCUCCAAAGCCUUCUUUAGAUGUGGUCACAGAGAAGAAUGGACAGGAUAAAACUCCUGUAUGAUAAAAUUUGGGGUCAUGGAGAGAAAAGGGCAAGGAUUCAGGAGUGAGGUCUUCACUUCCCCCACCUGUCUACCCCCAGGCAGCAAUAAUAGCAGCUGCCAUGUGGGAUAACCUACAGGUUCCCUCCAAUACCAAGGCAGGGAGUCUUCAGUAUUACUGCUCUGGAGGAUUUGAUGAUUGCGGUGAACCAGAGACUUCUGUGUCUUUCCCAUUCUUCUCUUUUUCAAAUAGAUUGUUUUACAUAUAUGUAUUAUUAUUAUAUAUAUAGGCAGUCCCAUUCCUGCUCUACAAUUUAUAACAGAAUGAUUGGAGGCAGGUAACUUAAUUUAUAGGCUACCAGACGAUGAAGAAUUAUAUGUGAACAUUAAAAAUCAGACUGAAUUAACCAGAGAUUGUGAACUUUACGCUGGAUGCUGAAACAGAUGGGACUUUGGUGGUUUCUGCCCCCAGAGAGGAAAUAAAUGUGGGGGAAGAAGGAUGCACAUUUGGAGACUCUGGUCACUGCUGUGGCACAGUUUUGAUCCCCAGCCUGGUAACUUCCACACGCUGUGAGCGCCACCAAAAAAAAAGUAGAAGAAACUUGGGCCCCCUGACACUGCGGACUGAUAUACCAGACUUUUACAUGAAAGAGAAAUACCUUUUCUCCUGUAAAGCUGGUAUUAUUUUAAGUUUUUAUUUGCAUGGGAGAAACCAUGUCUUCACUUUCAUAAACACGUCAAGUUUGAGGUACCUUUAAAAAUUUCUUACAAAAAGUGUCAAACAUACACAAAAGUAGAAAAAAUGGUAUAAUAAUUUCAUGUGUAUUCAGCUUUAACUUCAACAACUACCCCUUCGCCUAUCUGAAGCUAAACCCACACCUUCCCCUCUUUCCCCUGGAGUAUUUUGAAGCAAAUUCCAUGUAUUGUACCAGUUCUUCUAUAAAUGUUUUAGCAUGUAUCUCUAAAAGACAGAUUCUUUCUUUUAGAAAAACGAGGAGUUUCAAAUACUUUUGAGUAAAACAGAUGUAGAGACCUAGUAGAUAGUUGGGCAUAUCUCUUUACAUUCAGGAGAAAGGUCUGGCCUGAAGGCACUGCUUUGAGAGGUGUCCUCAUGGGUGGUAUUUAAGGCCUUCGUAAUAGAUGAGAUAAUUCAGGGAAGGUGGCCCCUUGAGUUGAAAAGAGAAAAAUUAUAUCAGUUCAGAUCAGCAAAGUUUUCUUUCACUGGUGUCAAGUAGCAUGAGAGGAGUUGUGAAAGAUACAGCAAAUGCAUAUGGGUGGG
rnacentral:lncRNA from 1 species